GGCCCCAUCAUCUAAUGGUUAGGAUUCCAGAUUUUCAUUCUGGCCAUACGAGUUCGAAUCUCGUUGGGGUCACCA
rnacentral:tRNA from 11 species